rnacentral:rRNA from 1 species
AUUGAACGCUGGCGGUAGGCUUAACACAUGCAAGUCGAACGCCCCGCAAGGGGAGUGGCAGACGGGUGAGUAACGCGUGGGAACAUACCCUUUUCUACGGAAUAGCUCUGGGAAACUGGAAUUAAUACCGUAUACGCCCUACGGGGGAAAGAUUUAUCGGGGAAGGAUUGGCCCGCGUUGGAUUAGCUAGUUGGUGGGGUAAAGGCCUACCAAGGCGACGAUCCAUAGCUGGUCUGAGAGGAUGAUCAGCCACAUUGGGACUGAGACACGGCCCAAACUCCUACGGGAGGCAGCAGUGGGGAAUAUUGGACAAUGGGCGCAAGCCUGAUCCAGCCAUGCCGCGUGAGUGAUGAAGGCCUUAGGGUUGUAAAGCUCUUUCACCGAUGAAGAUAAUGACGGUAGUCGGAGAAGAAGCCCCGGCUAACUUCGUGCCAGCCGCCGCAGUAACAC